rnacentral:rRNA from 1 species
UACGUAGGGUGCAGGCGUUAAUCGGAAUUACUGGGCGUAAAGCGUGCGCAGGCGGUUUGCUAAGACAGGUGUGAAAUCCCCGGGCUUAACCUGGGAACUGCGCUUGUAACUGGCAAGCUGGGAGUGUGGCAGAGGGGGGUGGAAUUCCGACGUGUAGCGUGAAAUGCGUAGAGAUGUGGAGGAACACCGAUGGCGAAGGCAGCCCCCUGGGCUAACACUGACGCUCAUGCACGAAAGCGUGGGGAGCAAACAGG